AUCGCUUCUUGGCCUUUUGGCUAAGAUCAAGUGUAGUAUCUGUUCUUAUCAGUUUAAAAGACAUAUAUUUCAGGUAAAUCAAAAGAGGAAAGGAAACUUCAGUUGAGGGCUACUCAUC
rnacentral:snRNA from 1 species